rnacentral:rRNA from 1 species
GAUGAACGCUAGCGGCAGGCUUAAUACAUGCAAGUCGUGGGGCAGCAGGACUGUAGCAAUACAGUUGCUGGCGACCGGCACACGGGUGCGGAACACGUACGCAACUUACCCUUAACUGGGGGAUAGCCCGGGGAAACCCGGAUCAAUACCCCGUAAUAUACUGGAGUGGCAUCACUUUAUUCUUAAAGCUCCGGCGGUUCGGGAUGGGCGUUCGGCUGAUUAGGUAGUUGGUUGAGGUAACGGCUCACCAAGCCUACGAUCAGUAACUGGUGUGAGAGCACGACAAGUUACACGGGAACUAAGACCCGGGCCCGACUCCUACGGGAGGCAGCAGUAAGGAAUAUUAGGGAAUGGAGGCAAAUCUGGCCCAGCCAUGCCGCGUGGAGAAUGAAGGCCCUCGGGGUUGUAAACUUCUUUUAAAGGAGACGAAACCUGUGUAUUCUUACGCAGUUGACGGUACCCUAGGAAUAAGCACCGGCUAACUCCGUG